GUAUACCGCAGACAUCAUUUCUACUACAGUGGCGGAGCCGUACAGGACCUGUUUCACUGCAGGGGGAUCCAAAACAAGCCCCGUGGAGCAGCAGCCAGAGCAACAGCAGCCGCAAGACAUUGUUUCUCUCCCUCUGCCCCCCCCUUCCCCACGCAACCCCAGAUCCAUUUACACUUUACAGAGCAUCGAACAACAAAUCGCCAGGGUGGUCCAUUCAAGCUGCAGAUUUGAUUGUCAUCCUUGUACAACGGUCUCCUCCUCCACUGCCACUACAGGGGAGCGCAUCACAUGUCAGGUCACAGAACAGAAAGUGUUGGUGGACAUCUCUUCUUGCCCCAAGAUCUUCGUUGGAAGUCCUCGGGACUUGGUGUCUGUGCCGUUCAAAGUAUUUAUGAACUCUCCAGGAGGCAUAAUGUGUCACCAUUUUAUUCUGGGCCACCCUAAAGGAUGACACCCAGCUUCAGAGACCUCCUGUUGGACGUCAUCCCUGAGAAUGUUUUAGCUCUCCCAUUGUCUGAAGUCUCUUGCCAACUGGUGUUGAGCUGGUGCAGGCUUAGUCGUUAAUGGCCAGCAUGAUGUUGAAUGUUCUGCUUCAUCAGCUUGCAGCUGUACACCUUUUGUCACUUGCAGAGCAGCACCUCCCUCUCGAGCUCUUGGGGAGUCUCUACACAAAUGCGCUAGAAAAAAGGCACCAAUCCAUUCUUUCCAGCUUGGCGUUUGCCCACAGGCGUAGUCCUGGGAUGACCUGGAGCAGAGGCAGUGGAGGAUAAAUUCAUCUUGCACAGACUUGUUUGUGCUAGUUCUAGCCUGUCUCUCACCACAGAUCUAGCUUUUAAAUACUCAAGUGAUUGGUUUUGUGUAGGAAUGUGUGGAUUGUUGGAUUGAAAGAAUUUUCUCUCCGGAUUUCUAGUGUUUACAUAAGCAGAUAUAAAAGAAUGUUCUAUCACUGAUUUAAAUAGCAGGACUUAUUUUAAAAAGUUAUGGGUGCUUAAAGGUGGUACGGAAUAAAAAUGUCUGUUUUUUUUUUCUUUAUUACAAGUUGUAACACAACCCAACGGUAUAUAUUAAUGUUUUGUCAGGAAAGGGUCAAAAUGGAAAAUUUGCAACAAAGACAAACUAGAAUAGAACAAGUGCAAACAGAAGCUGACAAAUAUAUGCCCCUUGUUGGGAGUUCAGCCCAUGGAAUGUUAUGUAGGACAAAAGGAAUGGAAGAGAUAUUUCAGUAACAUUUUGUUCUCUGUCAAAAACCUUCUGAAAUAUAAAUCUGCUGUGUAUUGGAGAAUGGAUACAGCAAUUGAUUCAAGUUGAAUAGCUUUCAUUUAACUAGAGUAUCCCACAGAAAGCAGUUCUUGUUCUGACAACCAUAUUUGUGCUUUCUUUGACUUAAAGAAAAUUGAAUUCAUGUUUACAUAUCUUAUAGGAUUGUUUUAUGGACAAAGACCCAGGUCAAAUCCCGUCACAGUGGCUAGUGUUACAACAAAUGGAAACAUUUCUAAAUGAAAUAACCUUUCCAAGCCAUGGGCAGUGCUUGCAGUAAUAAUACUAGGUUGGUAUUAUGAAGCCAUUUGCAACUAUAAAUAAUUCAGCCGUAGAUGUGCUUUUUUAAAAAAAAAAAAAAAUCUGUUUUUUUUAUAAUUCUAGUCUCUUGCCAAUAUACAUACCCAUACACAUACUUCACCUAUUUGCAUAAUAGAGAAACAGGACUAUGAAUAUAUAUACAUAUAUAUGCAUACGUAUGUAUAUAAUAGAAGUCGGUUUUCUUUUGGACUCUCUGGAACAGAUUACCUUUUUUCUUCUCCUCAUGUUGGCUCCCUGAAUUGCUUCUAAUUAUUGAAAUUCCGUAAUUGCCCACAAAUAUGAAUGUGUUUUUCUAAGGGUCUUGCCAUGUCCACUGAUCUAGCUGAAAGCUAAGAGCCAGUAUUACUGGUUUAAGGAGCUGAACUUCAACAUCAAGGGCUCCCUGAAAAGGGUAUUCUGUUUUAGUCUCCAUUUCUACACUCCUCAAGGAGAAAGUAGGUGCUUAAUGUUUUGUUUUGUUUUGUUUUUAAAUUCCCAGGUCAUUCUGGCAUUGAUCCUGGACUCACUGCAAAUGUAAUUUUUAGCAAUAACUAUUACUCCUGAGAUAUUUUGGCUCUCUGUGGGCUGUGGUUCAGUAGACCUGAGAUUUUCCAGAUACAUUAAGGACUUAAAUACAGAAUGUCUUAAAAUUUUAGGGUUAUUGAUCAAGAGAAAGCUUCUCUAGGAAUAAAGGUCUGCUAGUUUUAGCCCCAUUUUAUCUUCAAGAUUCUUAACUGGAUACCUUAUAUUUUCUUUGUUUUCUGUGUUUAUGCUAAUUUUCCACUUGGGUUUAUUGUUUUCUUACUUGGGAUCUACUUUUUUGUAAAUACACAGCCCUUAAAAUUAUAAAACAGUUCCAACCUGUUCAUUCUUCAUACCUUGACCAUCUUUUCUGUCUUAUUGCUGAACCAUCGUUUCUCUUUCUGCGUGUCUUCUGGGAUUUCGUUUUGCUCAGCUAAAAUUCUGGUGUGUGAUUUUGAAUACUAUGGUUUGAGUUUCCUGACCAACUUCUCCUUGCGUCCGAGUCCAUUUCCUGUGCUUAAAGCUGUUGGCAUUCCAUUCACUGCUCCUAGUCAAAACUGAAACUUCUUGCACUAAUAAGAUUAGUCUUUACAACAUUAUUAAUUUCUUCCUUUUCUAUUUCUUGUUCCAUUGUUAUUUCUCAAAGAUGAAAAUUUAUUUGUCAGUAAGAAAUUCAUUUUGCUGUCACUUACUAAAGAUCUCUUGGGAUUUUCUGUUCUACUCAUGCAUGCUACAGCUUCAAACUGCAACAAUCAUCAACUGGUCUUUGACAAAUGAGUUGUCCCUACACAUGGUUUACAAUAUUACACUAGCUGUUUAAAAAUAAUUAAGCCUCUCUCUGUGUUCUUUGCUGUGGGUCAGGAAAUUUACUUACUUUGCCAUCCAGCACAGAAGUUAAUCACAAAUGAGUCCUCUGAACCAAAUAAUUAAAAAUAGAGCAAAGUUUCUGAACCAGGCGGUUGGCAGAAACGUCUGUACUUCCAUCUGUGCAUGGUUAGGAAAAUAUUUCAUGAUAUUUAAAUAGCAUCAGCUUUGCUCUCUUUUGUGUGAGAGUGUGUCUGUGUGUCUAUGCGUAAUUCAUUGCUCUAAAGGUUUGUUUGACUGUUAGCUAAUCUUAAAAAAAAGAAAAGUCACUGGCAAGGAAACAGGAAAGCAAAUCCAGGUGUUUUGUGCAUACAUUCUUUAUUUGCCAGUUUCUGUGAAGGAGCAAUGGUCUUGCCUUUGCUUUUCUCUUUCACUGAAAGUUUCUCUUGUAGCACGUGCCUCAGAAAAUUAAAGAACAUUGUAUUUUGACUUUGAAA